rnacentral:rRNA from 1 species
GGUGAAGGACGGGGGAGGAGCCGGGGUAGGAGGGAGGGGGCCAGCGUGGUUAGGAAUGACUGGGUGUAAAGGGUCAGUAGGGGGUGUGGCAAGUCGGGAGUGAAAUCUCUGGGCUCAACUCAGAGGCUUCUUCCGAAACUGCUGUGCUGGAGUGUGGGAGAGGCGCGUGGAAUUGCAGGUGUAGCGGUGAAAUGCGUAGAUAUCUGCAGGAACACCCGUGGCGAAAGCGGCGCGCUGGACCACAACUGACGCUGAAUGACGAAAGCUAGGGGAGCAAACAGGAUUAGAACCCGUGUAGUC